rnacentral:rRNA from 1 species
GGGCUUGGUGACUGGGACGAAGUCGUAACAAGGUAGCUGUACCGGAAGGUGCGGCUGGAUCACCUCCUUU